GACGAACGCUGGCGGCGUGCUUAACACAUGCAAGUCGAACGGAAAGGCCCUGCUUUUGUGGGGUGCUCGAGUGGCGAACGGGUGAGUAACACGUGAGUAACCUGCCCUUGACUUUGGGAUAACUUCAGGAAACUGGGGCUAAUACCGGAUAGGAGCCCCUGCUGCAUGGAGGGGGUUGGAAAGUUUCGGCGGUUGGGGAUGGACUCGCGGCUUAUCAGCUUGUUGGUGGGGUAGUGGCUUACCCAGGCUUUGACGGGUAGCCGGCCUGAGAGGGUGACCGGCCACAUUGGGACUGAGAUACGGCCCAGACUCCUACGGGAGGCAGCAGUGGGGAAUAUUGCACAAUGGGCGGAAGCCUGAUGCAGCAACGCCGCGUACGGGAUGACGGCCUUCGGGUUGUAAACCGCUUUCGCCUGUGACGAAGCGUGAGUGACGGUAAUGGGUAAAGAAGCACCGGCUAACUACGUG
rnacentral:rRNA from 1 species